CCACACUGCAACAAAACUUUGGGACCUUGGAUCUUGGGUUCAUAAUCUUGCAAUUCAGAAGGACUUCUCCAGACUCUUGGAUUUGAACCUUCACUGGAGACCUUAAGUUCUGGAGGCUGAAAGUCCAAGAUCAGAGUGCCAGCAUGGUCUGGUUCUGGUGAAGGCCCUCUUCCAGAUCACAGACAGCCAACUUGGAAUUGUAUCCUUACACAGUGUAGAGCAGAGGGGCACAUGGGAUAUUCUGGGCCUGGAGUAAAUAAAAAUGACCCAACAAUCAGUAGAGAUAUAGCAACUCCCCUGAAUCAUGCUGCCUCGAUACCCUCUCAACAACAUAGCUUUGCAUGUUUGUGUUUUCUCUGUUGGUAUUGAUCAAUUCAAGGCAACAUUAAAGUCUGUGAACACCACCAAGAUUUGAAUGACUCCAUCUUAACCUAGGAGGUAAUGAAAACAUGAGAAGUCUGACAUCUGAGAAAGGGUCUGUGAUUGGAAUCUGAAAACCUGUAGCUGCAUUGAGAAUGAAGGACCUUUGUACUGUUUCAUUUUCCCUCUUGCAGAGGUGUGCAAUUGCUGUCACAAGAUUGGAUUUAUGUUGGAACAUUUCCCCUGCCCCUUCAAUUUUUUUUUUUUUUUUUUUUUGCAUGAGAUCAACAUGAAGAUCAUUAAAUGUCCUUAUUAAG